AGCAGCCGCGGUAAUUCCAGCUCCAAUAGCGUAUAUUAAAGUUGUUGCAGUUAAAAAGCUCGUAGUUGAAUUUCGGGAUUGACACAUCGGUCGUGCCUUAAGGGGUAUGAACUGGUGUAGUCAAUUUCUCACCUUCUGGAGAACCGCGAUGCCCUUAAUUGGGUGUCGCGGGGAACCAGGACCUUUACUUUGAAAAAUUAGAGUGUUUAAAGCAGGCAUUUUGCUUGAAUACAUUAGCAUGGAAUAAUAAAAUAGGACGGCAUGAUUCUAUUUUGUUGGUUUCUAGGAUCACCGUAAUGAUUAAUAGGGAUAGUUGGGGGCAUUAGUAUUCAAUUGUCAGAGGUGAAAUUCUUGGAUUUAUUGAAGACUAACUACUGCGAAAGCAUUUGCCAAGGAUGUUUUCAUUAAUCAAGAACGAAAGUUAGGGGAUCGAAGACGAUCAGAUACCGUCGUAGUCUUAACCAUAAACUAUGCCGACUAGGAAUCAGACGAUGUUAAUUUUUAUGACUCG
rnacentral:rRNA from 1 species